UACGUAGGGGGCAAGCGUUAUCCGGAUUUACUGGGUGUAAAGGGAGCGUAGGCGGCAAGGUAAGCCAGAAGUGAAAGCCCGCGGCUCAACUGCGGGACUGCUUUUGGAACUAUCUAGCUAGAUUGCAGGAGAGGUAAGUGGAAUUCCUAGUGUAGCGGUGAAAUGCGUAGAUAUUAGGAGGAAUACCGUUAGCGAAGGCGGCAAUCUGGCUGGAAACUGACGCUGAGGUGCGAAAGCGUGGGUAGCAAACAGG
rnacentral:rRNA from 1 species